GCUCCCAUGGACAAGUUGGUUAAGUUGGUGGCCCUUCAAGCCGCAGACGGGGGAUCGUAGCCCCCUGGGAGUA
rnacentral:tRNA from 1 species